GAUGAACGCUGGCGGCGUGCUUAACACAUGCAAGUCGAACGGUGAAGCGCUUUCAUUUUUGGUUGGUGUGGAUGAGUGGCCAACGGGUGAGUAACACGAGAGUAAUCUGCCCCCUUCUUCUGGAUAACCGCAUGAAAGUGUGGCUAAUACGGGAUAUUCCGGGUCUUUCGCAUGAUGGGUCUGGGGGAGAUAUUGUUUCGGAGUGGGAUGGGCUCGCGGCCUAUCAGCUUGUUGGUGGGGUGAUCGCCUACCAAGGCGGUGACGCGUAGCCGGCCUGAGAGGAUGGACGAUCACGGAACCGCUGAGACGUGCUCCAGACUCCGACAGGCGGCAGCUGUGGGGAAUAGUGCACGAGGGGCACAAGGCUCAAGCAGCGACGCCGCGUGGUAGAAGGAUGCCUUCUCGUUCAGAACCUCUUUCGCAACAGAAACAGACCUGCCUCGUUUGUCGGUGGGUUGACGGUAGCUGGAUAAGAAGCGCCGGCUAACUACGUG
rnacentral:rRNA from 1 species